AGAGUUUGAUCCUGGCUCAGAGCGAACGCUGGCGGCAGGCUUAACACAUGCAAGUCGAACGGGCACUUCGGUGCUAGUGGCAGACGGGUGAGUAACACGUGGGAACGUACCUUUCGGUUCGGAAUAAUACAGGGAAACUUGUACUAAUACCGGAUACGCCCUUCGGGGGAAAGAUUUAUCGCCGAUUGAUCGGCCCGCGUCUGAUUAGCUAGUUGGUGAGGUAAUGGCUCACCAAGGCGACGAUCAGUAGCUGGUCUGAGAGGAUGAUCAGCCACACUGGGACUGAGACACGGCCCAGACUCCUACGGGAGGCAGCAGUGGGGAAUAUUGGACAAUGGGCGCAAGCCUGAUCCAGCCAUGCCGCGUGUGUGAUGAAGGCCUUAGGGUUGUAAAGCACUUUUGUCCGGGAAGAUAAUGACUGUACCGGAAGAAUAAGCCCCGGCUAACUUCGUGCCAGCAGCCGCGGUAAUACGAAGGGGGCUAGCGUUGCUCGGAAUCACUGGGCGUAAAGGGCGCGUAGGCGGACUCUUAAGUCGGGGGUGAAAGCCCAGGG
rnacentral:rRNA from 1 species